rnacentral:hammerhead_ribozyme from 1 species
ACCCAGCUGACGAGUCCCGAGUAGGACGAAACGCGCGUCCUGGAU